UAAGCUACCUGGCUGUCGACACUCCUGUGGAUCGGACUUGGCGUAGCACCCCUAAAAUACUUGGCGGUGCAAGUUCAUCUAUGUAGGCUACACCCUACAUAAAGGGCCUCUUGCAUUCACCCAGAGGUCAGUCAAUAAUCUGCUCAUUCAGCGGUUAUCUCUUAUAUUUAUUUAAUGCACAUUUCACCUUCAUUUUUAUAUUAAAGAUUUGAUGAGGAUGCAAAGUAGCUGUCCCCUUUUUGAGAGGUAAAAAAAAAACAUCAGAGGCAAGUUAACAAUGAUUUAUUAAAAGAGAAGCGUUCAGGGCUUUUAUUUUAAAUUUAGCCCAAAACAGCAACUUGAACAGCUCCUUUAAAUUUCAGACGGGGUUUGGGCCGCCAGUUAGUAGCUGUUCAUGAAACCAGCAGCCAUCUGCUGAAAGAGCCUAGUAUGCAGCAGGAAAUCGCUCAGUUUGCUAAACAACGUCGCCAUUUUUCUGACUUUGCAGGCUCGCAGCGCAGCAUUGCUAGCAGAGUUGGACCUGUAUGAUGCUGACCUGAAGCAAGGCUGGCUCACGAACCUGACAAAGAGACCCCUAAAACACCAGCUCUACCCAAAAGAGAAACGGAUCAACUGGCCGAUCAACACUGCUAUCAAAGAACCAGAUGCACUUGAACCACAGGAAACCUCAGAAACAACAUUCAGAAGCGCCAGACCUUCUCAGUCCAUAUACAGAGGCAACAAACUUUACCUAACAUCAGCCAACAGACAUCAGCUGCGGGCAGAAAGUGUUUGCUUUCCACUUUCAGUCACCUCACACAGCUGACUGAUUAAAAAAAAAACAAAAAAAAAACAAGUUGACCAGUUCGUCUGAGCCAAGAUCACUAUUGGAAUGUUCAUAAGAAAAGACGGUUACAGCGAGCAGCAUAUCUGCAUGUUGACAGAGUGUAACACGCAGUGGGAACACUGUGUUUUGUGUCCUGUAUCAAGUCAGGUUGUGUUUGGCUGAUACAUCUUGUUUGUUCUGUGCUCUGAGUGCUUGAUUCUGGGGCUUUAACCCACACAUACUGUAGCUCUGUCCCUCUCUUUAUCCUCCUGUCUCCUUGCUUACUGCUUCUGCUGAUCUGACGUUUUACAUGUUUGCGCAAUAAUGUGUGCGUGUUUACAUUCCAUCAUUCUCAGUCAUACUAGUGGGAAUAUGACUGAGUGGAAAACUGUUGAUAUUCAUGGUUUUGAGUGUUUAGCUGCUCCCUGUUGGUACACAGUCGCAGCAUUUGUAUCACUCGGGUCAGGUUGGUUCUGUAUAACACUGCUGAUUCUCAUAGCCAGAGCCAGGCUAAAAAUGAACACACCAAUGGCAUUAUACAGUGCUUAGAGCAAAAGACAAAACCACCAACCAAUAUGCUAGUAUUAUUUUCUUCAAGCCAACAAAAUGUUUUCAAACUAACAAAGUUACCUGUCAAUUAAAGGAUAAG